rnacentral:tRNA from 2 species
UGCGGGGUGGAGCAGUGGUAGCUCGUCGGGCUCAUAACCCGAAGGUCGUAGGUUCGAAUCCUGCCCCCGCUA